rnacentral:misc_RNA from 1 species
GAUGAAGAACGUAGCGAAAUGCGAUAAGUAAUGUGAAUUGCAGAAUUCAGUGAAUCAUCGAAUCUUUGAACGCACAUUGCGCCCCCUGGCAUUCCGGGGGGCAUGCCUGUUCGAGCGUCAUUAUAACCACUCAAGCUCUCGCUUGGUAUUGGGGUUCGCGGUCUCGCGGCCCCUAAAAUCAGUGGCGGUGCCUGUCGGCUCUACGCGUAGUAAUACUCCUCGCGAUUGAGUCCGGUAGGUGACUUGCCAGCAACCCCCAAAUUUUUCAGGUUGACCUCGGAUCAGGUAGGGAUACCCGCUGAACUUAAGCAUAUCAAUAAGCGGAGGA